rnacentral:rRNA from 1 species
CCUACGGGGUGCUGCAGUGAGGAAUAUUGGUCAAUGGGCUUACGCCUGAACCAGCCAAGUCGCGUGAGGGAAGACUGCCCUAUGGGUUGUAAACCUCUUUUGUCAGGGAGCAACGCCGGCUACGUGUAGCAGGACUGAGAGUACCUGAAGAAAAAGCAUCGGCUAACUCCGUGCCAGCAGCCGCGGGAAUACGGAGGAUGCGAUCGUUAUACGGAUUUAUUGGGGUUAAAGGGUGCGUAGGCGGAAUGCCAAGUCAUCGGUAAAAUCGCGGGGCACAAACUAGCUCCGCCGUUGAAACUGGCGUUCUUGAGUGGGCGAGAAGUAUGCGGAAUGCGUGGUGU